rnacentral:lncRNA from 1 species
UUCUUGGUCUCUUUUUCAACUUUUUACCAAAUUCAUCUUUCUCAGAUUUUUCAUGUGCAGACUUGGGCUUUCUUCUGACUCUCUGUUCUUCAACUGCAUUUACUUCAUCAUCAUCAUCAUCAUCAUCAUCAUCAUCAUCAUCAUCAUCAUCAUCAUCAUCAUCAACUUCCUCAUCUGUAUAGAAAUUUCAACCUUAGCAGAACCCAAUAAGCAGAAUUUCUUAUCA